rnacentral:rRNA from 1 species
AUACGGAGGGUGCAAGCGUUGUUCGGAAUCACUGGGCGUAAAGGGCGCGCAGGCGGUUUGGUAAGUCAGAUGUGAAAGCUCACGGCUCAACCGUGGAAGUGCAUUUGAAACUGUCAGACUUGAGUACUAGAGGGGAAAGUGGAAUUCCCGGUGUAGAGGUGAAAUUCGUAGAUAUCUGGAGGAAUACCGGUGGCGAAGGCGACUUUCUGGCUAGAUACUGACGCUCAGGCGCGAAAGCGUGGGGAGCAGACAGGAUUAGAAACCCCAGUAGUCC